rnacentral:rRNA from 1 species
GAUGAACGCUGGCGGCGUGCUUAACACAUGCAAGUCGAACGAGAAGUGAAGACGGAAACCUUCGGGCGGAAGGCUUUAUUUCGAGUGGCGGACGGGUGAGUAACGCGUGGGUAACCUGCCUCAUACAGGGGGAUAACAGUUGGAAACGACUGUUAAUACCGCAUAAGACCACAGCACCGCAUGGUGCGGGGGUAAAAACUCCGGUGGUAUGAGAUGGACCCGCGUUCGAUUAGCCAGUUGGCGGGGUAACGGCCCACCAAAGCGACGAUCGAUAGCCGAUCUGAGAGGAGGACCGGACACAUUGGGACUGAGACCCGGCCCAAACUCCUACGGGAGGCAGCGGUGGGGAAUAUUGCAAAAUGGGGGAAACCCUGAUGCAGCGACGCCGCGUGAGUGAAGAAGUAUUUCGGUAUGUAAAGCUCUAUCAGCAGGGAAGAAAAUGACGGUACCUGAGUAAGAAGCCCCGGCUAACUACGUG